AUUGAACGCUGGCGGCAGGCCUAACACAUGCAAGUCGAACGGUAACAGGAAGCAGCUUGCUGCUUCGCUGACGAGUGGCGGACGGGUGAGUAAUGUCUGGGAAGCUGCCUGAUGGAGGGGGAUAACUACUGGAAACGGUAGCUAAUACCGCAUAAUGUCGCAAGACCAAAGAGGGGGACCUUCGGGCCUCUUGCCAUCGGAUGUGCCCAGAUGGGAUUAGCUUGUUGGUGGGGUAACGGCUCACCAAGGCGACGAUCCCUAGCUGGUCUGAGAGGAUGACCAGCCACACUGGAACUGAGCCACGGUCCAGACUCCUACGGGAGGCAGCAGUGGGGAAUAUUGCACAAUGGGCGCAAGCCUGAUGCAGCCAUGCCGCGUGUAUGAAGAAGGCCUUCGGGUUGUAAAGUACUUUCAGCGGGGAGGAAGGGAGUAAAGUUAAUACCUUUGCUCAUUGACGUUACCCGCAGAAGAAGCACCGGCUAACCCCGUG
rnacentral:rRNA from 1 species